rnacentral:lncRNA from 1 species
AACCCUGCAGGGUCCACAGUCUUAUUAGUGAUGAUCAUCUGUGAUAUUAUGAAUUAAGGACAUAGCCCAGCCCUCAGUCAGAACUACUCAUGCACUCUAAGUAAAAAACACUUUGAAUCCCCUUUAAGGGAUAGACAAAUGAGUCCUACAGGAAGAGCAGUUAGAUUUCAUCCAUCAACAAGGUCUCAGUGCAUAUCAUGGCUUCUUAUGCCUGCAUCAGGAUUCUUUCUUUCUCUAAGGACAGAAGUAGUGUGAAGGAAAGAGGAAAACUUCUAGGAUCAGUCACAAUCCUAUUUACUUGUCCAAUUCCAUCCCCCAGCCCAUAUACAUUCCAGAGAUCUUAUUGUUUAAAUCAGAGUAUUAUGAGGUGAGACUCAACUGUACACCAAGUAACAUGACAGCAGAAAACUGUCACAAAAAUGGGUUAUGAAGUAGAGAUUCUUGAAGUCAAAGAUCUGUAGGUUGGAUAUGAAGAUACAUGGAAGGGAACUCUCGGGCUUAGGAUCCCACAAUAAAACUGCAGAUUGGUGAUUCAACAGGAUUGCUAUGAUUGAGUCUAGGGCCAUGAGAGAUAUUAGAGAGAUCACUUGAGACAAAGGUCAAAGAAUCUUAAGGACUGAACAGCUAGGAGCCAAGGAAGUACACAGUCAGAGGGACCAUGAGCUCUUCCUAUGAGGACAAAGUAAACGCCAAGUCCUGAGCUCCAAAGGUAAAGGAAGAGGGAGGCUGAACAGGGAUAUGAGGACAUUACAGAUAGUAUGUUCCAUCCCCCACUAUGAAUCAUUCCCUAGUCUUGGGACUUGCCUCCAGAAUUCCAGCAAGACAAAUGGAAUCACAAUCUAAAUGAACACUCAAGUGUCUUCCAGAUUUCAAGUUGCCUCAGAAGGAAGUUGAUUAAGAGGAAUGGAGAGAAUCAGAGAAGAUAAAUUAGGCUAAUAGCCCUCGUAUCCUGAAAAGAGGCUUUGCUAAAAAAACCGAUCUCAGACAAGACAGACGUCCAUUUUGUAGGACUAUUUUGAACCCUUCCUGAAAGAAGGUCUGGAUGGCUUUAGGGCAGAAGGUAGCUCUAAAGGAGGAACGAGCUCCACCUGAAGAGGUCGUUUCCAGUAUUUGAUCAACCCAAAGUGUUUCUUCAACUCAGUACCAAGUUUCACUUUUUCACUAGUGAGAUGAAAGAAUGUUCAGUUUAUUAUCCAAGCUCGACCUCUUAGGCAUAUUUUGUGAUUAGGAGUGAGAGGAAAGGAAAGGAAAGGAGACUGAAUAUAGGUGCCAUCUUCAUUUUGCCUGUCUUUCCUACAGCAAAGCAGUGGGAAAUUCCCUCUCAAAGGAGGCAGAAACAGAAGAGCAGAGAGAAUUAUACAUUGACAGAAAAGAGAAACCAGCUUAGAUGUCUCCAGGACUCUAAGGCCUCAAGGUCAACCUUCCCUUCAAUCAGCAGCAGACCAGAUAGGCUGGGUAAGUCUUGCUUAAGUAGAAGGUGAGAGAACAUGACUGGUUAGAGUUGGAGGCUAGACACGAUUUGUCAGGCUGGAGCCAAUGAGCUUCCUCAAUCUAAGUCAGAAGUAAAGUGGCAGCUGAGACUAGUGCUGAUCUUUUUUUUUUUUAAUUGGGAGGCCCCUGAUUGUGUCCACCUGUAACUAUAGUAUGAUAAUUCACCUUCCAACAAUUAUUAUCAGGAUAUGCAAGAAAAAAAGUUGCAACUGCCAGAAAUGGGCUAGAAUCUUAAAUUUGAUAGUGAAAAUAAACUCAGUAAAUAGUGAUACUACACCAUUCCAUAUGGAAAGCAAUAGAUAUUUCUUUUUUAAAAUAUUAUAGCAGAAGACCCAAGACAUAUCACUUUCUAUGUGAGCAGAAAUCACUGCCAAUUCCCUGUUUUUUAAGGUCUCUUUUUACCGGCCCUAAACCUGUCCCUUCAGAUACAUGUUUGGGCAAAACAAGAUGUGUAACUAGUGUGCAUUCAGUCACUUCAUGGUCUCAAAUGUUCCUUUAGAUAGCUGCAUUGAUAUCAAAACCCACUUUUCA